rnacentral:rRNA from 1 species
GAUGAACGCUAGCGGCAGGCCUAAUACAUGCAAGUCGAACGGUAAGGCCCUUUCGGGGGUACACGAGUGGCGGACGGGUGCGUAACGCGUAUGCAACAUGCCUUCCAGCGGGGGAUAUACCAGGGAAACUUGGCGCAAUACCCCAUAGAAUUACGGGACCGCAUGGUCUUGUGAUUAAAACUCCGGUGCUGGGAGAUUGGCAUGCGUGACAUUAGCUAGUUGGUGAGGUAAAGGCUCACCAAGGCGACGAUCUGUAGCGGGUCUGAGAGGAUGAUCCGCCACACUGGAACUGAGACACGGUCCAGACUCCUACGGGAGGCAGCAGUGGGGAAUUUUGGACAAUGGGCGCAAGCCUGAUCCAGCCAUGCCGCGUGAGUGAAGAAGGCCUUC